AUAGGCGCAUACGGGAGUACACUGCACGUUAGAAGGCAGACCCUGGUGGCCACCUCGCCCUCCACGGGCACCAGUCCCAGCCCCGCUGUUUGGGAACCUCCUCUGCAAAGCAGCCACUCGGAAAACGAAGACUCAGAGAGGCGGGACCUGCUGACCGGCAGUGGCUAACCCAGAUGUGGACACCCUGACUAUCAAUCCCCCUGGAGUUCAGCACCCCACACCGCUGCUUCUCACACUCAGGCGAGCCCAUUCCAACGCCUCCUCUGAGAGGAAUUGUGUUAACCUCAACAAAAGUCCAACUUCACGUAAGAAGGCGCACCCUGCAUGACAGACACCCAGCAAGUAAGGGGAUGGCGUCUCAUGAUACAAAGGUUUCCAGAGAUCUCACGGGAGGACAGCAGCCACCCAAGCGGUGCGCACGCGCACACACCCACAAGCAAGCUGCUCGAAGGUCACCGUCGCUUGUGUGCACAAGCUCAUGCCACCUACCCAUCUGACAGCUUCUCCUUCGACGCGGAAAGACUGCGGCUGCGUUUUAAACUCGCCUUGCUCUCCCGAGGGUGUCUCAACUGCUGCAGGUUUGAACUCAAGAAGGACAAAGGCAGAGGCCCUCAGCCCCCCGAAGAGGGACAGCUUCAGUGCCAGGCUCCCCGAGCCACUGCACCGGCACGUGUGUCCUCCACAGCCAGCCUCUGACUCAGUGUCAGUGCCCACGAUGAAAACGAGGUCCAGCCAAGAAGUUUGCAACUUAAUAUUGAGGACCGAACAAAAGAAAGGCGGUGGAAUGUUAUAAUGUUAAAUAUCAGGGUCUUAGCUCAGGCAGACUGGAUUUGAAUCAUUCUCUGCUCAUUAUAAAUUGCGUGAUUUUGGUCUAAUUCACAUCUAACUCCAGUUUUCAUAUCUGCAAAAACGGAGCUGAAACUGUCCUCAGAGUUAUUGCAAAAAUGAAAUGAGAUUAAACAUUU